rnacentral:rRNA from 1 species
GUGUCAGCCGCCGCGGUAAUACAGAGGGUGCAAGCGUUGUUCGGAAUCAUUGGGCGUAAAGGGCGCGUAGGCGGAGAAGUAAGUCAGGUGUGAAAUCCCUGGGCUCAACCCAGGAACUGCAUUUGAAACUGCUUUUCUUGAGUGCGGUAGAGGAUAGUGGAAUUCCCGGUGUAGAGGUGAAAUUCGUAGAUAUCGGGAGGAACACCAGUGGCGAGAGCGGCUAUCUGGGCCGACACUGACGCUGAGGCGCGAGAGCGUGGGUAGCAAACAGGAUUAGAUACCCUCGUAGUCC